rnacentral:rRNA from 1 species
GACGAACGCUGGCGGCGUGCUUAACUCAUGCAAGUCGAACGGGAAGGCCCUGCUUUUGUGGGGUGCUCGAGUGGCGAACGGGUGAGUAACACGUGAGUAACCUGCCCUUGACUUUGGGAUAACUUCAGGAAACUGGGGCUAAUACCGGAUAGGAGCUCCUGCUGCAUGGUGGGGGUUGGAAAGUUUCGGCGGUUGGGGAUGGACACGCGGCUUAUCAGCUUGUUGGUGGGGUAGUGGCUUACCAAGGCUUUGACGGGUAGCCGGCCUGAGAGGGUGACCGGCCACAUUGGGACUGAGAUACGGCCCAGACUCCUACGGGAGGCAGCAGUGGGGAAUAUUGCACAAUGGGCGGAAGCCUGAUGCAGCAACGCCGCGUGCGGGAUGACGGCCUUCGGGUUGUAAACCGCUUUCGCCUGUGACGAAGCGUGAGUGACGGUAAUGGGUAAAGAAGCACCGGCUAACUACGUG